rnacentral:lncRNA from 1 species
GUUGGAGAAGAAACCAUUCCUGCUUGUUCCCAGGCGUCCGGAGAAUAGAAAGAAAGGAUUCCCGCCCCUCUUAUUACCACGAUUUCUCUGUUUCCCUAUCUUUUGCAAACGAACGGCUAGCACGGGGUUUAAGCAGGCUGGCCGCGGAGCCCGGCUGCCUCCUGACCCUGUCUCAACCUCUCCAAAUCUCAGCGUUCUCAUCUGUCGUGCGGGAGCAAUAAUCAUUCCUCGCCUGUAGGAUGGCUGCGAGCGCAAAGGGGUAACCCGGGUGAAGGGCUCGGCGCGGCACUUUGUACACAGAGAGGGAUCAAGGGAUGCCAGCUGGUACCGGGAUUUUCCGAUUACGAAACUACGUGCAACAGAACUCAAGGCUCUAAGGAAGAGGAAUGUGCCGUCCGGUCUCCCACCGUUCGCUCCCAGUCUUCCCCCAAAGGAUUAUUUAACAAAUGCUCUUUUUUUUUCUAGUCCUUAAUCACUAUGAUACGUUGAGAAGUGGCUAAAUAGCAGCCUUCUGUAGGAAUCAACUCCCGUGUGUCAACACUUUGAGAAGGUGUCCCUCGGUGCCCCUCCGCGUCCCCAGCAGCGGGGUCUGCGUGUAACCAGAGGCCAGCCAGGGCCGGGUAAACGGGUGUAUUAGUGACUUAUUGCUGGAAAACAAACUGACACGAAUUUAUGCAUGCAUUUUCUUGCAGUUUUUGUGACUCGAGAAUCUUGGCAUGGCUUGGCUACGUCCUUAGCUCGGGGUGUCACGAGGUUGCAGCGAAGGGGUUAGCGGGGCUGCCUUCUCAUGUGGUGGCUUGGCCGGGGAGGGAUGCCCCUCCCGGCUCAUCAGGUUGUCGGCACAGUGGAUUUCCUUGUCGCCGUGGGACUGCGGGCCUUUGCCGCCCUGGCCCUGGCCGUCAGCUCCUAAGGACCACGGCUGCCGACUGCACUAAUCCCACAAGGAGAGUCUCUGCAGCAAGUCUGCCAACAAGAUUAGGAGCUGCUUCUCUAAGUUUCACCUCCUCAUUCAAAGAAGGAAGAAUGACAAAGCACAAAAGCCACAAAGCAGCCCCUCCAGAGUUAAGCCCCGUGCCAAGCAGACAAGCCUACAUUUGGGGCCUGCAGGAGGACUGCGGAGGGAGGACUGCGGAGGGAGGACUGCGGAGGGAGGACUGCGAGAGCCCGGCCUGGAUGAGGAGCAGCGACUGCAACACCCUCCCUUGCCCCAGGGAGGAGCAGCUUGGAAACUUUUUAUGA